CCUGGAAGGGAGCAUCGUAGAGGGUGACAAUCCCGUCUCUGACACGGACCGCCGGCGCUGUGCGAUGCGCUCUCGACGAGUCGAGUUGUUUGGGAAUGCAGCUCAAAUCGGGUGGUAAACUCCAUCUAAAGCUAAAUACGGGCGAGAGACCGAUAGCGAACAAGUACCGUGAGGGAAAGAUGAAAAGAACUUUGGAAAGAGAGUUAAACAGUACGUGAAAUUGCUGGAAGGGAAACGCUUGACGUCAGUCGCGUCGUCCGGGGAUCAACCCUGCCUCUGGCUGGGCGUAUUUCCCGGUCGACGGGUCAGCAUCGAUUUCGAUCGUCGUAGAAGGACGGGAGCGAACGUGGCACUCCACGGAGUGUGUUAUAGCCUUCCGUAUGGAUGCGACGGUCGGGAUCGAGGAACUCGGCACGGCCCCUCGAGGGUUCGGGACUUCGGUCCACGCAGCGUGCCCAGGAUGCUGGCGUAAUGGCUUUAAGCGACCCGUCUUGAAACACGGACCAAGGAGUCUAACGUGCCUGCGAGUGUUUGGGUGAAAAACCCGAGCGCGCAACGAAAGUGAAAGUCGAGACCUCCGUCGCGGAGGGCACCGACGCCCGGACCGGAGCCUUUGGCGAUGGAUCUGCGGUAGAGCAUGUAUGUUGGGACCCGAAAG
rnacentral:rRNA from 1 species